rnacentral:tRNA from 1 species
GCUGUGGCGCAAUGGUAGCGCGCGAGACUUCUAAAACCAUUGACAUCUCGAGGCUGUGGGUUCGAGCCCCACCAGGAGCU